rnacentral:rRNA from 1 species
GAUGAACGCUGGCGGCGUGCCUAAUACAUGCAAGUAGAACGCUGAAGGAGGAGCUUGCUCUUCUGGAUGAGUUGCGAACGGGUGAGUAACGCGUAGGUAACCUGCCUGGUAGCGGCGGAUAACUAUUGGAAACGAUAGUUAAUAUCGCAUGACAACAGUUAUUGCAUGAUAACUGUUUAAAAGGGGCAACUGCUCCACUACCAGAUGGCCCUGCGUUGUAUUAGGUAGUUGGUGAGGUAACGGCUCACCAAGGCGAAGGUACAUAGCCGGCCUGAGAGGGGGGACGGCCACACUGGGACUGGGACACGGCCCAGACUCCUACGGGGAGCAGCAGGAGGGAAUCUUCGGCAAUGGGCGGAAGGCUGGCCGAACAACGCCGCGGGAGGGAAGGAAGGUUUCGGAUCGGAAAGCUCUGUUGGAAGAGAAGAACAAGUGGGAGAGUGAAAAGUUCACGCUGUGACGGUAUCUUACCAGAAAGGAACGGCUAACUACGUG